GGUGACAACCUAGACUUGAGGUUGGCAUGGUGGGUUUGUAGGGGAAGGGGGAGUUUUGUGACACUGGGCCCUUAACCUGUGGAAUCUGUUGCUAUCCCCGCAGGUAGAUCGUGUCAUAAUUGAGUUGAAUUGUAGGACAUCUAGCUGGUGUUAGAUUCUGAACUGGAGUUAGACUAAUAACGGCAUUAUUAAUGAAAACUAUUGCUACAUAGAAAACCACUUUUAAUUUGCAGUGGUGUCAGAAACAUAUGUUUUAAUACUGUCACUGAAGAAAGUUGAGGAUUAAAUUUAUCCAGUAUGAGGGAAACUACAAGCCUCCCCUCCCCCACUGCAUUUUUUUGAUGUGGUCAUUGGUCAAGGGGCUAUACUUCUACAAGGAUGAGCACAGGACCCAUAGUGGCCAACAGAAUGCCACUUUCUCAGGAAUAUAAUGGACACCAGAGGAGAGAAGGCCCUUCUCAUCAGAUUACCAACUAAUAUGGCAUGAAAUGUUAUCCUUAUCUCAGUGGAUGAGGCUUAGAAGGACAACCAAGUAUAAACAUUCAAAGAAGUUUUAUAGCAAUAGAGAAAGAUGUGGAAGAACACACAUCAGACCCGUAAUGUUGACUGGCUAAGUGGGUUUGGGAGCAGAAGUGGACUGUAGGCCUCAUGAGGGCAGGGACCCUGUCUAUUUUGCUUACCAAAUCCUACCUCUGACAGAAUGCCUGAGCAUGAUUUCUUCCUUUUCCAAAUGCCAUUAGAGAAGCCAUUCAAACUGUGUGAAUGUAAUGACACUUAACCUAAAUUGACCUGGGAUCACCAUAUAGUCAUCACAUUGACAGGGACUCUCUUGAUGGAGUAUUCCAAACACAAAUGGUACAGACACCAGCUACCCAAAGGCAGUAUGACCAGAAACUGUCCCUGAUUUGGAUGUUGCUAGUUUUUGGAUUUAAUGUCUCCAUCAAUCUUGCAUAGCCUCCUGGAAAGCAGAUUAUUGAAAGGAGAUACAUGGACUUUAGAAGAGAAGGAGAGCCAAAUACAUUUUGUAAAGCAAAAACAUUUUAGCUUGCAUCAUUCCGCAAACUCCAAGUUCUGUCAAGUGAGAAGUUCAUGAAAAGCUGUCCACAAGAGAUGGCUCUUGAGCCAGGCCAGAGCAGCAUUUGUGACUGUGACACAAAUGACCUCAGUCACACACAGCCCUAUAUGCUUCCGGGGUUUGAUUCCAGCACACAUCUUCAGGAUUCUGAGAGACACCCUCUGCUUCAUCCAACACGGAAAAAAGGCACAUGUUAAAACACCAAAGAAAUCAUGGAAAGUGGUCCAGGCUCUUCUGAGAGUCCUCAACAUUGAGUACAGGCCUCGAUGGGGUUAAAAGACUCUGUAGGCCUGUCUGGGACAAAAGCCAUAGAAGCAGAGAAAGGUGAAAUCAAAGUCAUUUCUCCAGUCCACUUGAUAGCAACUUUCUGGAGAUAAAGUCCUACAUCAGAGAAGAUUUUCUAAAGAAGGAAAUUUCAGUCACUAUGGUGAACCAAUGGGAGAAACAUUUUGCGAUGACAAUGGAAAUUUACCACCCUUCAAAUGAUAAAGAAGAACUGAAAAAAAAUAUUAAAUUGAACACACUGGUGAUAUUUCAGUAGACAUUAUAAAACCACCAGUAAUGCUGAUUUAUCAUGAUUGCAUUUGAAGAAAAAAGAUUAAAACUUUUAAGAUGAAAAA